rnacentral:misc_RNA from 1 species
UUUGUAAUAAAUAUAUAUGUAUGUGUAUUAUACAGAUGUAUAGUAUGUAUGUGUAUGUUUCUAAAUAUAACACAUCAGAGACACUGAUAAGGCUUCAUAGCGCAUGACUUAAUAUUUAUAUGUUUUCUCGCUUUCUCGCUAAAAAGCGAUUAAAAGGGAGAUGCUGUAGCGUAUGAUUUCAUAGACGUUGCUAGCGAAGGUUAACCGCUGAUGAAAACACGACGAGUACACCCUGUAAAAUGCGAAAGAAUUUGCAUGGUGAAUCAGCAACGACGGCAACUGCGAAACUAAGCGAAUUUCGCUUUAACUCGACAAAACUGUACACAAAGAUAAGCUCUAAUAUCAGCAUGCAAAAGCCAAAGCGAAGCUNGAGAGGAGCGGUUUGAAAAUACUUUGAGCUGCAGUCAUAUACACACAUAUCGCUAACUGCAAAUUUGCAAUAAUUAUUUAAAUGUUUUAUGGGAAAUGAUUUAUAAACGUUCUUGUUGUUGCUAGUUUUAGGAAUUCUUGAGCAGAUAUGUAUACUCAGUGUGUUCAUGCCAAGGUACUCGCACGAAACAAUCCACAACGUUUGUUUAUCGUUGCCGAACAGUGAAUUAUGCAAAGAGCGAGACUUCAUACGAGUACAAGUUUGAUAAGCCAUCAAAAGCGUUUGCUACUUGAAUGUGAUGUAUUAACACACCCAGCACAUUCUCCAGAAGAAAGCUCAAACCUUCAGUUUGGAUACAUUGUAUUCGUACUCAGCCGCCAUAGUGAUCCCUUUCUGUUGUGAACGCGAACACGAACGGAUUGUUUCGAGAAACGCGAGUUAUGGAUUAAAACGGUUCUUUAUUAUUCUGUAGCAAGAAUCAGACUGACUCUGCCAUCAGAUCAGCAACUCGAGUCUGCCCCCAAUGUGUGGGUGUACCGCACAUUCCAACAGACUCAAAAUAUGCCGAGUGUGCUGUUUUGGUCACGUAUUGGCUGAUCAUGCGAUGUGGUGCACCACUGCAUGCCGUCAGUUGACGUAACCUGAGAUGUAACUCGCGCGUCAAACCAGUACAAACAUUCUUCUGUGGAAAUUAGAAAGAAUUAUUUGUAGAAAACUUUGUUAUUCUAUUGGAAACCAGUUUUUGUANACACAAGUGAGAAGAUGGCCAAAUACGUUGCGGACAAAGCGAUGUGCGGUGUCAGCCUGCGUAAUGCCUGCCGGGGCAUAUCGAUAUACUCUCUAGUCGCGGUGGUGCUGAACGUCAUAGCGCAUCCAAGUUAUUUGCACAAAACAUCUUUACUUGUAGGGUUCAUUAUUGAGCUGCUUGCCAAUUUGGCGCUGCUGUUCGGUGUUUUGUGGAGCAACGCUUGGCUGGUCUUGGUUUGGUUUGUCUUCGGCGUGCUGUUCUUCAUUAAUUGGCCCAUCGCAGUUUUGGGUGUAAUUUUCAAUUUUGGCGAUUAUCGCGCAGCUGCUUACGUCGACAAUGUGUUUCUCAUCCUAUUCGUAUAUAUACUGGCUUUGGUGAUUAAUGGCUACUUCUCAUAUCUCGUCUACUCCUACUUCCACCAAUUGCGGAAUAGGCUGUCAGCGCCACCACAUGGCUCAGCGACACCACAUGACGUUGUUGUGUAAAUACAUAUUUAAAUUAUGUACUUGCCCAUAUAAUGUGGUACAUACACAUACGUGCAACUAAUUAACAACGACUUGUCCCUAUAAAUUAAAUGACGAUUUGUAUAAAACUUUUAAGGGUAAAAAUGACGAGUUAAUUACCCGCGAUUNAAAAAAGUAGACCCACAAGACGGCAAAUCAAGGAUAAAGCCAUUACUCUCUGAACGCAAUCAAAGCAGCCGCUGAGAGUUAGCAAAGAAAUACCGCCAUUGNACAGCAAAAGAGUGGAAAAGAUUAUUAAUUUUCGAUGANAGCAAGAUGAAUAGGAUUUCUUUAGUUGGAAAAACUUAUGCCCGCAGGCCUCGAUGAAAGAAGUUGGACCCCAAAUACACUAGGCUAACUUUAACACAUGGUGGUGGUGGCUGCAUAAUGACUUGUGGUGCCAUAUCGUGGUGAGGUGUUGGG